rnacentral:ribozyme from 14 species
AUGAUAUAAUACGGUGAAGAAGGAGAUGAUGACGGAGAAGGAGGACAAGUUUUUUUUUUUUUUUUUUUUUUUUUUUUUU